GGGAGGAAGUGGAGAGAAAGAGAAAAUAAUGCUUCAAAAAUGGACGGUGGUGGAGAAUAAAGGAGCAGAGGGAGAAAGCCUGAGGGCAAGGACGGAGGAGGCAGCAGCAGCAUGGAGAUGAAGCAUGCCCCUUGUGCCCUGGGUGUGUGUCAUCACCAUCAUUAGCAGCAGCACAACUGAAGAAUUUGUUUGAAUACCAUAGAAUUGGAACACAACGAAAUACAGUAUAAGAAAUGAAAGCAGCAGUAAGAAGUACAAUGGAAAAUCAGUAUGAAUAUUUAAUACAAUGGACCUGCCAUCUCCUUCAUUCAACCACAAAUCCACAGACUUGCUGGCGACUACCUGGGUGAAGCUCAUGAAGCCCUGGUGGUCUACGGACUACCAUUCUGUAACCUCCAAAUUUAGCUCAUCCUUAUUCAACCCUUCUAGCAGAUUAGCUGGUGUUAGCCUCCCUCACAUCUGAAGCAGCAGCAGAGAGCAUGAACGAGUACAGGAGCCUGAAAGGGAGUGUAGCAUUCAGAUCUCACCUCAGCCCCAAACAUAUCGGGUUGGCCUUAGGCAAGCCACUAUUUUAACUCAGCCUCAAUACUCCCAUCCACAAUAUGGGAUCAUGAUGUGCACCUACCUUACAGGAAUGUUGUCACUGAAAUGAUGUGUAUGAAGCACUGAGAAUAUCUGGAGUGCACCGGAGAUGUGUGUGCUUGUUUCUUAAAUGCUGCUGCCCUCCUGUUUCCCUGCCACAAGGCUUGAAUGCUUAGGACCUUUCCAAUCAUGCAAUGGGCUUGAAUACAGUGAGACUGCAGACCUAUCCAUACUUACCUGUCCUGCUCUGUGGUGGAACAAGACACAACCAGGGUGUAGGACAGUGAAGUUCAGACUGGACACAUAAGGCAGGAAGGCAAGGGAAGGUUCGGGCCAGAUGCAGGAUAGGCUCUGGGAAAUACAGAACUCUGAAGAUGCUCCAGCAAGAAGCGAGUCUAAGCUGAGCCCUUUGACAGCAGCAGCCGCAUGUGGAGUCUAAUUGUUAGCAUCAUCUGUGCUGCAAGAGGCUGUUCUACUUAAAGGGACCCGGCCUUCUCUAGUAACCUCCUAGUGUGAUGGGGGGAGUCUCAGAUAUUUCAGGGUCUUCUACAGUAGAGUCCUCAGAGUCUGGCGGUACCACAUCCUCAGGUGGGGGGGGGGUGGAAUUGGCCACACAGCUUUAUCUGGUGGCAGAAUGUCCAAGGCUGGCCCUGUGUGCCCUUCCCCUUCAGGUCUGGAGUCCUCCUCUCCACCACCUGAUGAAAAGGAAUCCGGCUCCUGGUCCCUGACAUUACCUGGGAGUAAGCCCUGUUGACCUCAGUAGUUCUUACUUCUUAAUAGGCAUGCAUGCAUGUGCGCUGUUAACUGUGCUGUACUGUGGCAUUAUCUAGAGAGAUGGAGUAGUAUCCAAGAUCCUCUGGUUCAGACAGCUGCUUCCCUUUUUAAAAGAAAGUGUCGCUAGCUAAGAGAAAUAGUGAACACUUUGAAAAGCUGUCUUGAAAAUGCAAUCAUGCUAGGUCUACCCUGCCCUGUCUAAUUGUUGGCUGAUGUUUUCAUGAAUUUUUGGAAGGUCCACAAAGCAGCUAUUUCAUCUGCAUUUACCAAGCAGACUGUUUUUCAGUAUGGCAUAUUUGUCCACAUAUUGUAUAAUCCUUUCCUUAAUUAUGCUCCCUGGGACAGGGGCUGGCAGGCUUAUGAUUCCUUGAGUGCCCUGAGUUCCCUUCCCCGUUUUAAGAUGAUUUACACUGGACAGCUUGGAGUCAUCUGGCAUAGAAGCAAAUUAGUCUUUCUCCUUUCCCGGCUUUAUAAUUUAUCAUACUGUUCUAAGACCACCGCCUCUUAUUUUGCCACCUCAUCUCCAUCUUUGCUCUUCCAGCCCUCCACUUUUCAGCUGCUCAAGAGUUUCCUGCCUUCUCAAAGGACUCCCUGGCCCAUUCUCAUUGGCUAAGCCUGAUGCUUGGCACUCCCUCUUAGAUCCAAUGUAAUUUUGACAUUGGCUGUGUAUGACAUUAUGAUGUCAUGAUAUGUAUGAAAAUGAAUAAAGUCACCUUUAAAAAGGGAACUCUCUCCCAAGUAGCCUAUGUAGCUUCCUUCCAUUUCUUACUCAAAACCCACUUUUUCUGUGAUGCCUUUGACUUAGCUGGUUAGACCUCACCACUUAUCUACUCAACUGAAAUAAAGUAUAAGUACAUUUAACUACGUAUGCAUUUGGUCACAUUCA